rnacentral:tRNA from 1 species
GCGGCUAUAGUUCAGUGGUUAGAGCGCCUGAUUGUGGUUCAGGAUGUCGUGGGUUCGAAUCCCACUAGCCGCCCCA